rnacentral:rRNA from 1 species
GACGUAGGGCGCGAGCGUUGUCCGGAUUUAUUGGGCGUAAAGAGCUCGUAGGCGGUCUGUCGCGUCGGCUGUGAAAUCCCGAGGCUCAACCUCGGGUCUGCAGUCGAUACGGGCAGACUAGAGUGCUGUAGGGGAGACUGGAAUUCCUGGUGUAGCGGUGAAAUGCGCAGAUAUCAGGAGGAACACCGGUGGCGAAGGCGGGUCUCUGGGCAGUAACUGACGCUGAGGAGCGAAAGCGUGGGGAGCAAACAGG